CUCUGGGCCUCUGCCUGUCUGUCUUUCGCCCUCCCCCCUCCCCUUCCCCUUAUGUUGUCUAUAAAAUUAGGAUAACACUAUUCAUGCCACCUACCCUCAAAGGAUGUGGAGGAGGCAGUGAGAAGACGCAUGACAAGCACCAUUAGGAAUAUGCUCUAUGAUCUAAGGCUCUAGGAAGAAAGAAGAGAAGGAGCAUUUCAGGGUCUUUGUGUGUCAGGCACGGUGCUAAAGGCUGGGAGGACCAACACAAGUGAAUCAGCAGCUGGGGAGGUACCCUGUGGGGGAGGGGGUCCAGCAGUCGGCAGCAGAGCCAAGAGGGUAAGGAUGGCUGGUGGCCUGGGCCUCUCCACAAAGUGGAGGUCCGAGGCGGGCCACAGGGACAGGGUCACAUCAGUUCAGCUGCAUUUGCCAGUGAUUUUGAAAUCUGAAUACAUCUUGCCCAGGCAAGUUUACCUUGAAUUCUUUUUCUGCCUUUUCUCCUGUGUAAGCUGGCUAAGAGCCCUGACAUUUCUUGUUUGUUUAGUUACAGACAGAAAUCCCCACAAAAAUCUAACAAGUGGAAGGAGAGAGUGAAAUUAUUGCGCCCACUCACUUUUGUCCCAGAUCCCAGCCUGGUUGACGAGGCUGUAAAACAUCAGGACACAAUUAUCCUUGGCUAGAGCAGCGGGGUUUGGUUGUCCCUCUGCAGUGGCUACUGCUUUGACCAUCCUGGAAGAAGUCUGCAAGGCUCCUGCUCACUGGCACUGGCCUCUAGCCUGUGACUCAAUUUGGCUGGACCCUGGAUUUCCUCUGGGGAGAGGGGAGAUGGAGGGGGGCAGUUCACGCUUUGCAACUUGCAAGGCUACUCACUGUGUUUCCUCCUUUGCUACCCACCUUCAGAUUCUACCUGUGCUGAGUUUAUCCUCAGAGAUCUCCCUUCACCUCAGCAGUCUCUGACCCAGGGAUAUGGCCCUCACAGUCUCAGGCCCUUUUUUCUGGGCACAGUUCAGUACCUCCCCUAACCUGAUCUAGCUUCCCCUCUAGCAGGCUGGACUUUGAUCUGGAUCAGUCUUAUGACAGCACCAUCGCUCUCUGGUUGCUAGGCAUCCACUUCUUGGAAGGAAAGCUUUCUCUAAUAACUGGAUGAACAUUGACUCUUUCAGCUCCCUUUAAUGUGGGAUUCUCCCCUUCCUUAGAAGAGACGGAGGCCCCCAAUUCCAUUUGCUUCAACUCAGGACCAAGAAGCCUCUCUGGGGUAGGGGUUGGAGGGAAAGAGGGAUUCCCUUCCCAAAGAAAUGAUAGCCCCUUGGGACUAGUUAGCAGUUACUGUCCUAGGAAUAGGGGCUCCUGUGUCCUGGGGUUGGUGGACAUUGUGGUGCAGAGUUCUGCAUGGGGAACCUGGAUCUGACCUGCUUUAGACCCUCUGUGCUUGGAUUUCCUCACAUGCCAAAUGGGGCAAUCGAACACAUAUAUUCUAUCUUGUGGGGUUGUGGGUGGGUCGCCUGAAGCUUGCUGGUGUGAGGGCUUAUUUUCUUAUUGAAGGUUGAUGUGAAACCUCUCUCCUUUCCCCCACAUCAGAACCUCUGAGAACCAGCCAGUCCACACAUACAUGAUAAAAUAAAAAGUGUUAAUAACUGAUAUUUAUGCAGCACCUUAAA